ensembl:lncRNA CCDC26 CCDC26 long non-coding RNA
GCUACAGUGCUACUGGCCCAUAAUCAGGCAACUGCAGAGUCUUAGGGGGUUAUCUAAUGUAGUCUUGGGGUGGCUGGAUAGACUUCCCAAAGAAGGUGAUGCCGAAGCUGAGGUCGGAAAUUACGAAGAUCAGCUAUCAAACUUGGAAAUCAUGUCUUAGAGAUCAAGGAGCCAAGAGAUGAGACAAGCCUGGGUUCCUAGGUGAUAGGGUGUGGCUGUGUCCCCACCCAAAUCUCGUCUUGAAUUGUAGCUCCCAUAAUCCCCACAUGUUGUGGAGGGACCCUGUGGAAGAUUGUGCCUGCAGCCUGGCCUGUUGCCCACAGCGGUCUACCUGCCACACUGGGAAAGAUCGAGCAGAGACAGAGAAGAAAAGGAGGCUCCAUUUUUCAGGCUGCUCUCCCGCAGGCUCAUGUUUUGUGUUCAUGCCAGGCAGAGAACACAAAAUGUUCCAAUAAAUAAGUAUCAAAGCAUCUACUUGUUUCCAAAGUUAUUUGGGUCAGCAUUUUCCUCCACCCACCACUUAAAACUGAUUUGUUUCAUACAUUUGAAAUGUAUGAAAAGCCAGAAAUCCAGGACCCACCCUGGCCUGCUCCCUUUUUCUCACCUACUGUGUUAAGGAUAAGUCAAUUGAGCUUCACUUCUCUAAUUGAAAUCACCGUGCUGAUGGAGUCUGUCUGUGGAAAUGAAAGGUGGCUACCAUAAUCUGUUGGGAGUUGAAUUAAUCCUCUGGGAGUGAGGCUGACCUAAUUACUCAGAAAUACUGGGCUUGCUUUCAUUCUGUGGAAUACAGCCAUGAGAAAGAGGCCAGCAUGCCAUUUCCUAAUCUUUUCUUGAAUUGCCUGAAACUCACCUAACAUGAAACUGAGAAGCCUUUUCAUUUGAAAGUGGUAUUUCUUAUGUUUUUUAUCUUUUUGCUUGAAAGUAUUCUUAAACUAAAGAAAGGAGAAACAGAAAAGGUGAAGAAGCCAAGAGGCUGGAGUUUCCUUUUGAAUGGAUAUUCAUCCAUGAAGCUGUUGAUUCUGUUUUUCUGUUCCUCCAGAUGUCUACACUUUUACCUCUGCUUGCCUGAUACAACCACCACCAGUCACCUCACAGAAUAACUCACUCCUUAAGAAUCUGAUCAGGAAUCAGCCUUCCCUGAUCACAAACACUGAGUUUAGAAGUCCCUCCACAGUGUCCCCCGUAACCCUGUGCUACCUCACUGCCUCAUAGUUUAGUGCCGUUUGUGUACAUGCCUAUCUUCGUCCAUGGAUCCAGAACAACUUGUAAAAAUGACUGUACUUAUCACCUUCAGUAUUCAAUGACUAAACUAUAAUUUUAACAUAUCUGGCAGAAUGAAUCACUUGGGGAUUUCUGCCAACACUACCAAUAUAUUACUCCUAAUUUGUAAUUAUUACUUAGCAUGGAUUAUAGUACCGGCUGUUGGAGAGCCAAUGUGGCAGACCCUAAGUGGAAUAAAAUGUCAGUAGCAGUCUAGGAGCAUAUAUUUAUUGGAAUAGAUCAUUCAUUCAUUUGUUCAUUAACUAAUUUGUUCAUUAAAUAAACAUUUAUUAAGCACU